rnacentral:rRNA from 1 species
AUUGAACGCUGGCGGAAUGCUUUACACAUGCAAGUCGAACGGCAGCAUAGGUGCUUGCACCUGAUGGCGAGUGGCGAACGGGUGAGUAAUACAUCGGAACGUGCCCAGUCGUGGGGGAUAACGUAGCGAAAGUUACGCUAAUACCGCAUACGAUCUAAGGAUGAAAGCGGGGGACCGUAAGGCCUCGCGCGAUUGGAGCGGCCGAUGUCAGAUUAGGUAGUUGGUGAGGUAAAGGCUCACCAAGCCGACGAUCUGUAGCUGGUCUGAGAGGACGACCAGCCACACUGGGACUGAGACACGGCCCAUACUCCUACGGGAGGCAGCGGUGGGGAAUUUUGGCCAAUGGACGCAAGUCUGAUCCAGCCAUUCCGCGUGCAGGACGAAGGCCUUCGGGUUGUAAACUGCUUUUGUACGGAACGAAAAAGCUCUUACUAAUACUAGGAGUCCAUGACGGUACCGUAAGAAUAGGCACCGGCUAACUACGUGCCAGCCGCCGCCGUAA